CCAACUGCUGCCUAUGAUUACAUUUGCUGUCUGAAAUAUUUGUGUAGAUUUUUCUCAGCAUUCGUCACUACCACUGAGGCAGCAAUCCU
ensembl:snoRNA